AAUAAUGUUAUGGUCAUAAGGAAACCCCUCUAAUGUGUGAAAUGAUCAUUGUGUGAAAUGUUUGCUGUGUGGAGACUCCAGUACUCUGUCAUUUCCAAAUUGGUGAACACCCCACUAUCUUGAUGUGAACGCCAUAAACCCUUAAAGUGUUAAAUGCCCUGCUGCUAGCAUAAGGCACACUGUCUGGCCCACACCGAUAAGACACAAGUUGUUUACUGCCGGCUAUAUAAGCACUGGACCUUCUUCAGUCGAUGUCUCCUGCCUGAUGAGAGGCGGACUCCGUGUUGCUCCAUGAGACAAACCCCUGACUAAGUGCUCUGCUGUGGGAGCCUAAACCAACUGCGAUUGCCUGUCUGUCUCCAUCUUCAUUGUCAGUCUUUUGGUGUGCAUCGCCAGGUGGCCUUUGCCAGAGCCUAGGACCCACUACGAAUAGGUAAAUAAACCUUGUGUGAUUGCAU